UCUGGGUACAGUGGCUAAUGCCUAUAAUCCCAGCAUUUUAGGAGGCCAAGGUGGGAGGAUCACUUGAGCCUCAGAAUUCGAGGCUGCAGUGAGCUAUGACCAUGCCCACUGCACUUCAGACUUCAGCCUGGGCAACAGAGGCCCUGCCUCUUAAAAAAAAAAAAGAAAGAAAGAAAAACAUGGUGUCCUCCUGGGAGUGAAAGACCAGCAGGUUGCCUACAAAGGGGUGAACUGACCCAGGUUGGAAACUGAGCAGGUCAAAACUCCUGUGCUGAUUAGUAGUGGGAUUGCACCUUUGAAUAUCCACUGCACUGUAGCCUGGCCAACACAGUGAGACCCCAUGUCU
rnacentral:SRP_RNA from 10 species